GCGAGCUGCCUCCGUUACCCCCACUCCAGUCCCCGCAGUCCGCGCCGCCGGCUCCCGCGGGCUAGUGCCCCGGACGUCCUCCAAACUCCGGCCAAAGUGAGCUUCUACGGACCUGGCAACUCAGCCCGAGCCCAGCAGCACCUGUCGGCCGGGGACCCCCGUUAACGCAUCACCUCGAAAGGGGCCGGCUUCCCGGACAACAAAAGUGCGCGGCCCGCGGGGGAAGUCCCCACCCAAGGCGCUCAGGCCCUCCUCCACAGCAGGAAGGAAGCUGGCAAUCCUGGGCUCAAACGGCAUGACCAGGACAGACUGGGCAGCCCCGGGAGGAAGACAAACCCAGAGCCCCCACAGAAGCUGCAGAAACUAGCUGACUAAUUUCAGUUCCAGGAACAAACUACCAGCAAUACAAUCAUAAUGCUCUGGAGGCGGCUUGGCAGAAUAAUAUGAACACUUUACCUUGAAGAAAACAAAACUAAAACCCCCUGUGAGUAUCAGGUGAGAAGAAACCAGACAAGCAGCCCCGGGUUUCCAUCCUCAGAAGGUCAGCAGAAGAACCCGGUGUGGUGUGAGCAGCAUGGCAGGGCGAGGUGUUCAGCAAGAAGGUGACCACCCAGCUGGACCGCCCCAGCUUGGGCCUGGGGUCUCUUCAUCAAGAGCUUCGAGGUCGCUGCCACAGGUUCAGUUUUGUCUCCUGUGGUCAGUGUGCCACUUCCAACAGGUGGACCCUGCAUUCUGGCCCCUCCCAAGCUGCCAAGCCGUGAAUGACCUGUUCACACAGCCGCUAUUUCAACCCAGGGACACUGUGCUUAGGGGGCCCCUGAGGUUUUGGGGAAGCUCUGGCUGUCUCGAGCAUCCCUAAAAGCCUCCAUGCUUGUGCCUUCUCAACAAAAAUUAAAGGUCCCAAAUCUAAAAAAAAAAAAAAAAAAUGCAGUUCUCUGAUGUAUAAAACUUUAUUUCUUUCCUGAGAAAAGAACAAAAGGUAAAUAGAAUGGUCUAAUUUUGUUCUGGGAACAUGAGACUCCCAGCUAACCAGCAAAUGCCAGAACAUUGAACCAAUUUGGGGCCACACCCAGGCUGGGUUGACUGGUCUCCAUGGUGCUGGUCGGUUGCUAGGUUCACUAGCUUCGCCUCCUGCUGCGGUUUGGUUCUGAGUGCUAGAGCUACAGAGACAAACCCUCCCAGAGGUCCUCCCGCAGAGCGCACGGCGGACGGGGCAGAGUGGCUCCCCGCCUCCCCGUGAGUCAGAUAACUGACACAAAACCAUUUUUCUAAAUCACAGCCGGGACAUCUGUUUUCCAUGAGUCACUAGCCAUGUUGAUGACAGCAGAAUAAACUUAUCUAUAUCACAGACAGUAACAUUAUUACUUUAUUACUUCUGCAGACAGUUACAUUAUUACUUUAUGUGGAUCCUUUGACUAGUAUGAAAAAACACUCUUUGCCCUAGCCCGUGGUCAGCAAACUGCGGCUCGCGAGCCACAUGCAGCUCUUUGGCCCCUUGAG